UCCCACUGUCCCCUCGAUGGGAGAUACUUACCAUUCUUCUGUUCUUCUGUCAACUGCUCUACCUAGAGAGGAAAAGGGAACUCAGGACCCAGACUUGUGCCUUUGUAGAGACUGUUGUAGAGAUCGACCCAAUCCACAGGUGGAAGAGUGGUAACAGGAGGCGCAUGCUCCAGGCCUGUACCUUCAACAUGCCUUCCCCAUCCCAGAACUCAAGUUCUCCAGCCCUCUCACAGCUGCCUCCCACCUUCCACAGCCUCUUCAGCCAGCUAAGGGGCCAGAGGAGGGCAGCAGACCUGAGCGUGUGAGAAGCAGUAGGGAGUGUGGUCUGCAGAGACACAGACAGACAAGGACUCGGAGACACAGAGAGGAAGGAACAGACGUGGGGAGACCUUGAGAAAGACCCAAAGAUGUCUAAAGAAUAGAAACACAGCCAUGACAGUGAUGACUAGACAUUUAGAAACAGAAGGAGACACAGGAUGCUGAGACCACACCCUCUAGCCGCAUUGACAAACCCCAAAACCGCUACCUUUUCUGCAUCCCCCAAACAUCAGCUCGAGGAGCUGGGCUACAGGGAAUGAGCCUAACAGCCAGGCGAGACCCUAUUAACGUCCCUUCUAGAAACGGAGGCCAGGCGAAGCCGAUGACUUUGGAGAGUUCAGAAGGCUCCUGGCCUCUGCCCUUCGCUGCUGUGGGCCCAGCGGACAAUAACCACAACUGCUCCAGAAGACAGAAGCUGCACAAGUA
rnacentral:lncRNA from 1 species